UCACCCAUCUCUAUUGCACUGAACACAGCACUGUCUGACAUUUACUGGAGAAGAGAGCGUAUUCAUCUGGAAGCAACAUGAGUAAAAUUGUUACAUUCUGUCUAGGACUGAUCCUGCUGGCUGUAAUGUUACCUGACCAGGUGCACUGUCAGUCUACUUUAGUAAAGACCAAUGCUUCAGAUUCAACAACGGCAAACAGUACACAUGUAUCAAAUGCCAGUGGCGUAUCACCUGUUACGACCUCGACGAACACUACUACAGCUCGUUCUCACGGAGAUUCUUUGUAUGCAUCUUCAAGCCUGUUCCUCAGCCUCGUCUCGAUCUCUGUUAUACAUCUCUACUGUUAAAGGACCGUGUCCUAAAGGCAGCUUUAGCACUCGCCCCCAUCCAACCACUGCUCUUAUCUGCUCUCUCUGACCAGGCUACCACACACGUCAUUGAGGAACAUUAACAAACACAGGCACCAAAUAUUUUUUUAUUGCCCAGAAAGUGUCCUCCGCAACCAAUCCUGACCGAGAGACUAAUAAACUGAAGCUUCCUAGGCUGAAUGAUGUGAAUAGGCUCUCAACCACAUCAGGAAAGUGGAGGAAGGCCCCAGUGGCAAGUGAAUCAAGAAACCAAUUUCCUUAAGUGGAAGCAAACAAGACAUUCUCCAAAUAUGAAACAAAACACUCAUUACAUGGACAUCAUUGAUGAGCUAAACACGUCAUGGUUGCUGUAGAGCAGAUUGGAGCAAAAUAUCUCCUUUAAGAAACCAAAAGACUUACAGACUGUUUUGCUUCUAGGCAACCAAAUAGAUAUAUCCAUGUUUAUGUAAGGCCAAUAUAAUUAAGGUAAUGCACGUAGAAGCAUCUAGUUAAAUACAUUAAUAAGCAUAAUGCAUUUUUGCAAAAUUUUUCAAUGGGAUAUUCCACUGGCAUUUGCAGUACCUCAGGGUAACCAUUUGCAUUUAUCACUUUAUUAUGAAAAAAGGCACAAAUAUAAGCAGGAUUGGAGAAUUAAUAUACUCAGCGGCAGGUGUUCCUGCUUCCUCAUUUAAACUGCUUUUUUAUGUGUCACCCGAGAAUAAAAAUGGGAUAAUAGAUUUUAUACUCUAUAUUGGCUUUUUACUGCCUUUUUGAAGUUUGUAACUGUUUUGCAGCCUAACUACACAAAUGCAUUAUGUCUUACUUUGGGGCAUUUAUUGUAAUUUUUUUUAAUAAACUGUUGCAUUGGGGGAAAAAACAAACAAACAAAAAAUUAAAAUCAACAUAAAACCAUAAGAAGUAAACAUAAGAAAACACAACAAUCUUUAUUUUUUUUUUUCACACAGGGAUAUUUGUAAAGUGACGGAUGGCAUUUUUUUUCCAGGGGUGGAUAUAUAAUGAAGUGAUUAUAUUAAUACAGAAUCGGAAUAUUUUUAUGCAUUUAAUCAAAAGGUGCAUUACUACACACUUUUACGAAUACAUGAAAAAUAAUACAUCUCUUGAAUUAAUACGUCAAGUACGCAAUUGGGUGUACCCUAGGAUUUCAUUUUAUCUCCUCUGAAUUAAUGAGUUGUACACAUUCAGGAUUAACACGUGUAAACAUAAUAGAUAUACAGAAAUGUGUCACUCUUUGUGUUUGUAUUUAGUUUUUUUUAGGCAAAUUCAGACAUAUUAUACAAUAAUAUAUUCCAGUGUACGCAGUGACUGUGCUGUAAUACAGUUAUGGCUAUCUAAAAUGCCGAUUACAGUGGUUAUUGUUCCACUGUGAUAUAGGAGGGGGUUUAUUUGCUAAACAGUGAAUGUCAUUGAGUGGGUUUCCUACUUUUAAGUCAUAAGUCAAAACAGUUAUGUUGACUAAAUAAAUUCCAACCAGCCAGCUGAUCUGGAUAUGCAUUUCAAUGCACUAGGCAGCUCAUUGCAAGUUACUGUGUAGUAAAUAAACCCCCGGUGUCCAUAGGAAUAGAAGAGCAGACACUUGACCUUGACCAGUAGGUCUUUAAUUUGAUGUUCUGUUGAAAUGACUGUGUUAUGAAAUAUAUAUAGAGACAUGUGGAGCCUCCCAGUAAGAGAUAAUCAGUUUUUUUGUAACUUUAAUUUAAACAAAUAAAAUUAUAAUGAUAAAACAA